GCGAGGAGUGCUGCUGACCCAGAGAGAGCUGAGAAGCAGUCAGGCAUCCAGUGAUGUGGCAGGCGGACUUUGACAGGUGCCUUUGGGGAUGUGCCAAGCUGAGCCCAGAGGGAGAGAAAAGAUGGUGGUCUCAUUUUUAAGCAGGUCUGUGUAGGAAUCUGGAACAAUUUUAGCACUAAGAAAAAACAAAGAAAAAACGUCUACAGAAGACCUAGAUGGACCGUUGGGUUCCACCACCAAAGCAACCCUGGCCACGAGGGAGCCAUACUGCCUGGACUGAGGGCUACAGGAGGGGCCCAUGGCCUCCACCUCCAUAUUCAAGGCAUAACAAUGAGUGGAUGUACCACCAUGAACCCUGGCCGGGGCUGCAACUAAAUGCCCAAGUGGAAUACCACCAUCCCACACAUCAUUCAGCAUUUAUGAGACCAAAUUCUGGGGCAGAGUAUUAUGAAAGCAGUUAUCCCAAUUGGCCACAUUCAAGGCAAGGUUAUGAGGAUUUGAAUCGCAGAUUGGUGGAGGAUUAUACAUAUGGAAGCGCCCAAAGAUAUCCUCAAGCUCAGCAUGGUGAAAGAGUAUGUAGACCGAGGAGAGAGAGAUACCUGGGGCACAGGUGCAAAUUCCUGGAUCCAAAAUUACAGCGGAGAUUACCAUCCAAGCAGUGGAUUUGUAGGACGUAAUGAUUUGAC